CAACAGCACAAACCCGAGCCCUCAAGGCAGCCACUCGGCUAUCGGCUUGACGGGCCUGAACCCCAGCGCAGGGUAAGUGUGCAGCUGCCAGUGGGAGGUCUCAGCAGCUUUCAGCGUGGGGAGAUGCACCUCAGUCCUGCCGUGGGCUCCUCCCCCGGCCCCUCUCCGCUAACGCCUCUGCUUUGCUCUUGCAGAAGCACAAUGGUGGGGUUGAGCUCGGGGCUGAGCCCAGCCCUCAUGGGCAACAACCCUUUGGCCACUAUCCAAGGUGCGUGCUGCCUCAUGUCACCCCAUUGCCACCAGUCCUGCCCUCUCCUGGG
rnacentral:lncRNA from 1 species